rnacentral:misc_RNA from 1 species
GAUGAAGAACGCAGCGAAAUGCGAUAAGUAAUGUGAAUUGCAGAAUUCAGUGAAUCAUCGAAUCUUUGAACGCACAUUGCGCCCGCCAGUAUUCUGGCGGGCAUGCCUGUCUGAGCGUCAUUUCAACCCUCAUGCCCCUAGGGCGUGGUGUUGGGGAUCGGCCAAAGCCCGCGAGGGACGGCCGGCCCCUAAAUCUAGUGGCGGACCCGUCGUGGCCUCCUCUGCGAAGUAGUGAUACUCCGCAUCGGAGAGCGAUGAGCCCCUGCCGUUAAACCCCCAACUUUCCAAGGUUGACCUCAGAUCAGGUAGGAAUACCCGCUGAACUUAAGCAUAUCAAUAAGCGGAGGA